rnacentral:rRNA from 1 species
UACGGGGGGAGCAAGCGUUGUUCGGAUUUACUGGGCGUAAAGGGCGCGUAGGCGGCGUGACAAGUCACUUGUGAAAUCUCCGGGCUUAACCCGGAGCGGCCAAGUGAUACUGUCGUGCUAGAGUGCGGAAGGGGCUACUGGAAUUCUCGGUGUAGCGGUGUAAUGCGUAGAUAUCGAGAGGAACACCUGCGGCGAAGGCGGGUAGCUGGGCCGACACUGACGCUGAGGCGCGAAAGCCAGGGGAGCGAACGGG